CCUACGAGAGGCAGCUGUGAGGAAUAUUGGUCAAUGGACGCGAGCCUGAACCAGCCAAGUAGCGUGAGGGAUGACUGAACUAUGGGUUGUAAACUUCUUUUAUAUGGGAAUACAACAGGGGAUGCGUACCGUCUUGUAUGUACCUUAUGAAUAAGGAUCGGCUAACUCCGUGCCAGCAGCCGCGGUAAUACGGAGGAUACGAGCGUUAUCCGGAUUUAUUGGGUUUAAAGGGUGCGCAGGCGGAUUUUUAAGUCAGCGGUGAAAUCGUCGGGCGCAACCCCAUUCAGCCGUUGAAAAUGGGGAGCGUGAGUGUGCUAGAGGUAUGCGGAAUGCGUGGUGGAGCGGUGAAAUGCAUAGAUAUCAUACAGAACCCCGAGUGCGAAGGCAGCUUACCAAUCUAUAUCUGACGUUGAGGCACGAAAGCGUGGGGAGCAAACAGGAUUAGAUACCCUUGUAGUC
rnacentral:rRNA from 1 species